rnacentral:rRNA from 1 species
UACAGGGGGUGCAAACGUUGCUCGGAAUUAUUGGGCGUAAAGCGCGCGUAGGCGGCUACUUAAGUCGGAUGUGAAAGCCCUUGGCUCAACUGAGGAAGUGCACCCGAAACUGAGUGGCUAGAGUACGAAAGAGGGUCGCGGAAUUCCCGGUGUAGAGGUGAAAUUCGUAGAUAUCGGGAGGAACACCGGUGACGAAGGCGGCGACCUGGGUCGAUACUGACGCUGAUGCGCGAAAGCGUGGGGAGCAAACAGG